ACUCCUACGGGAGGCAGCAGUGGGAAUAUUGCACAAUGGGGAAGCCCAUCGAUGCAGCCAUGCCGCGCUGUGUGAAGAAGGCCAAUUCGGGCUUGGUUAAAGACACUUUUCAGUAGGGAGGAAGGUAGUGUAGUUAACACCUGCAUUAUUUGACGUUACCUACAGAAGAAGCACCGGCUAACUCCGUGCCAGCAGCCGCGGUAAUACGGGGGUGCAAGCGUUAAUCGGAGUUAUUGGGCGUAAAGGGUACGUAGGUUGUUAUUUAAGUCAUGUGGGAAAUACCUGGGCUCAACCUGGGAAUGACGAUGAUACUGAAUAACUAGAGUAUAGUAGAGGGUAGUGGAAUUUCCGGUGUAGCGGUGAAAUGCGUAGAGAUCGGAAGGAACACCAGUGGCGAAGGCGGCUACCUGGACUAAUACUGACACUGAGGUACGAAAGCGUGGGUAGCAAACAGGAUUAGAUACCCUGGUAGGCU
rnacentral:rRNA from 1 species